UACGUAGGCAGCGAGCGUUGUUCGGAGUUACUGGGCGUAAAGGGUGUGUAGGCGGUUCUCUAAGUUUGGUGUGAAAUCUCCCGGCUCAACCGGGAGGGUGCGCCGAAAACUGGAGGGCUAGAGUGCGGGAAGGGAGAGUAGAAUUCCUGGUGUAGCGGUGAAAUGCGUAGAUAUCUGGAGGAACACCGGUGGCGAAGGCGGCGUCCUGGACCAAUACUGACACUGAAACGCGAAAGCCAGGGGAGCAAACGGG
rnacentral:rRNA from 1 species